CCUACGGGGGGCUGCAGUGGGGAAUAUUGGACAAUGGGGGCAACCCUGAUCCAGCCAUGCCGCGUGUGUGAAGAAGGCCCUCGGGUCGUAAAGCACUUUCAGUGAGGAAGAACGCCUGGUGGUUAAUACCCAUCAGGAAAGACAUCACUCACAGAAGAAGCACCGGCUAACUCCGUGCCAGCAGCCGCGGUAAUACGGAGGGUGCGAGCGUUAAUCGGAAUUACUGGGCGUAAGCGCGCGUAGGUGGCUUGAUAAGCCGGUUGUGAAAGCCCCGGGCUCAACCUGGGAACGGCAUCCGGAACUGUCAAGCUAGAGUGCAGGAGAGGAAGGUAGAAUUCCCGGUGUAGCGGUGAAAUGCGUAGAGAUCGGGAGGAAUACCAGUGGCGAAGGCGGCCUUCUGGACUGACACUGACACUGAGGUGCGAAAGCGUGGGUAGCAAACAGGAUUAGAUACCCCUGUAGUC
rnacentral:rRNA from 1 species